rnacentral:rRNA from 1 species
GAUGAACGCUGACAGAAUGCUUAACACAUGCAAGUCUUUGGCGAAGCUGUGCUUGCACAGCCUAGCCAAGGCGGACGGGUGAGUAACGCGUAAGGAACUUGCCCUGCAGUCAGGUAUAACAGACGGAAACGACUGAUAAGACCUGGUAAAGUCAGGCGGACUCAUGUCCAGCCUGAUGAAAAGAGAUGCUGCAGGAGAGCCUUGCGUCCUAUUAGCUUGUUGGUGGGGUAACGGCCCACCAAGGCGAUGAUAGGUAGCCGGCCUGAGAGGGUGGACGGCCACAAGGGGACUGAGAUACGGCCAUUACUCCUACGGGAGGCAGCAGUGGGGAAUAUUGGACAAUGGGGGCAACCCUGAUCCAGCAAUUCUGUGUGCAAGAUGAAGGUUUUAGGAUCGUAAAGUGCUUUCAGCAGGGAAGAAAAAAAUGACGGUACCUGCAGAAGAAGCGACGGCUAAAUACGUG